UGAUGAAAUGAUUUUGAUUUGUUUUUUUAGAGUUUACUGCCACAAGGAAAAGGGAAUAAUUCACUCAUAAUCUGUUUGUCAUAUUUGUACUGGGGGCUGAAUAUUUGAUACCGAUAGUAAUCUCACAGCUCAAGGCUUUGUUUAUGAGGUGAACUGCCUGAUAAUGGAGCUGGACCCCCACUGCCAGGCCAACAGGACUGGUUUCCCUCUGGCCUGGAGGGUGGGCUUGUUUCAGACCUAUGGGGGCUUUAGCAGGAGAGCAGAGUGUGAUGCACUGAAUCUUGUUGUGUUCCCCCUCUUCAGGGUGACGUUGGAGGACGGGUCGAGGGGGUUGAUCCAUGAGGGAAAUGGUGGUGGACGUGAGACACAUGAGCUCUGACUGGAAGACUAUUAAAAAGAACAAUUUCAAGGGGAAGAAGACUGUUGCUGACUUCGUGGCAGAUGGGGGCUCCAAUUACUGUCUGUUCUUCAAUAACUGUCGAGACGCGUCUACUCGGAUGAUGACUCCCUUUCGGGAGUGAAACGUCUUCACCAGCAAAAUCAACAUUCAACAAAUCACCAUUAUUUCACUCAACCAGAUUCAAAUAAAUUAAUGCAUACAUAAAUCGUGUUUGUUUAGUCCUUUCUUUGAGUUCUCCCAACAUCUAGAGGCAGCUUCAGAGAAUAACCAAGGCUCUAUGGGGCUUGUACAUCAGAGUGCAUCAUGGGAUUUGUUGUUGGGAUACCACGCCAUUUUGUAAUGCCUGGAGAGCAUUGGAGUAAUGUAAAUACACGGUGA